rnacentral:rRNA from 1 species
CCUGAGAGGGUGGACGGCCACAUUGGGACUGAGACACGGCCCAAACUCCUACGGGAGGCAGCAGUGGGGAAUAUUGCACAAUGGGGGAAACCCUGAUGCAGCGACGCCGCGUGAGCGAAGAAGUAUUUCGGUAUGUAAAGCUCUAUCAGCAGGGAAGAAAAUGACGGUACCUGACUAAGAAGCCCCGGCUAAAUACGUGCCAGCAGCCGCGGUAAUACGUAUGGGGCAAGCGUUAUCCGGAUUUACUGGGUGUAAAGGGAGCGCAGGCGGCUUGGCAAGUCUGAUGUGAAAGGCUGGGGCUCAACCCCAGGACUGCAUUGGAAACUGUUAGGCUAGAGUGUCGGAGAGGUAAGCGGAAUUCCUAGUGUAGCGGUGAAAUGCGUAGAUAUUAGGAGGAACACCAGUGGCGAAGGCGGCUUACUGGACGACAACUGACGCUGAGGCUCGAAAGCGUGG